CUACGGAGGAUGCGAGCGUUAUCCGGAUUUAUUGGGUUUAAAGGGAGCGUAGGCGGGAGCUUAAGUCAGCGGUUAAAUGGUGCGGCUCAACCGUGCCCUGCCGUUGAAACUGGGUUUCUUGAGAGUGCAAGAGGCGGAUGGAAUUCAUGGUGUAGCGGUGAAAUGCUUAGAUAUCAUGGAGAACUCCGAUUGCGAAGGCAGUCCGCUGGGGCACGUCUGACGCUGAUGCUUGAAGGUGCGGGAAUCAAACAGGAUUAGAUACCCUGGUAGUCCGCACGGUAAACGAUGAUUACCCGCUGUCGGCGGCAGACAGUCGGCGGCCAAGCGAAAGCGAUAAGUAAUCCACCUGGGGAGUACGCCGGCAACGGUGAAACUCAAAUGAAUUGACGGGG
rnacentral:rRNA from 1 species